UACGGAGGAUGCGAGCGUUAUCCGGAUUUAUUGGGUUUAAAGGGUGCGUAGGCGGGCUUUUAAGUCUGGUGUAAAAGGCAGUGGCUCAACCAUUGUAUGCAUUGGAAACUGGUAGACUUGAGUGCAGGAGAGGAGAGUGGAAUUCCAUGUGUAGCGGUGAAAUGCGUAGAUAUAUGGAGGAACACCGGUGGCGAAAGCGGCUCUCUGGCCUGUAACUGACACUGAGGCUCGAAAGCGUGGGGAGCAAACAGG
rnacentral:rRNA from 1 species